UGGGGAAUAUUGCGCAAUGGAGGAAACUCUGACGCAGCGACGCCGCGUGGGUGAUGAAGGCCUUCGGGUUGUAAAGCCCUGUCGGCUGGGAAAAAGGUUAUCAUGAAUAAUACCAUGAUAAUUUGAUGGUACCAGCAAAGGAAGCACCGGCUAACUCUGUGCCAGCAGCCGCGGUAAUACAGAGGGUGCAAGCGUUGUUCGGAAUUACUGGGCGUAAAGGGCGCGUAGGCGGCUCUGCAAGUCAGAUGUGAAAUCCCGAGGCUUAACUUCGGAAGUGCAUUUGAAACUGCAAAGCUAGAGUUCAGUAGAGGUUGGCGGAAUACCCAGUGGAGAGGUGAAAUUCGUAGAUAUUGGGUGGAACACCGGUGGCGAAGGCGGCCAACUGGGCUGACACUGACGC
rnacentral:rRNA from 1 species